rnacentral:snRNA from 1 species
GUGCUCGCUUUGGCAGCACGUAUACUAAAAUUGGAACGAUACAGAGAAGAUUAGCAUGGCCCCUGCACAAGGAUGACAUGCAAAUCUGUGAAGUGUUCCAUAUUUAA